GUGAGGAAUAUUGGUCAAUGGGCGCAAGCCUGAACCAGCCAAGUCGCGUGAAGGAAGACGGCCCUACGGGUUGUAAACUUCUUUAGUCGGAGAGUAAAAUGCGGUAUGUAUACCGUAUUGCAAGUAUCCGAAGAAUAAGCAUCGGCUAAUUCCGUGCCAGCAGCCGCGGUAAUACGGAAGAUGCGAGCGUUAUCCGGAUUUAUUGGGUUUAAAGGGUGCGUAGGCGGGAUGUUAAGUCAGCGGUGAAACCUUGGGGCUCAACCUUAAGCGUGCCGAUGAAACUGGCAUUCUAGAGAGUAAAAGAGGUACGCGGAAUGCGUGGUGUAGCGGUGAAAUGCAUAGAUAUCACGCAGAACUCCGAUUGCGAAGGCAGCGUACUAUGCUACAACUGACGCUGAAGCACGAAAGCGUGGGUAUCGAACAGGAUUAGAAACCCGAGUAGUCC
rnacentral:rRNA from 1 species